rnacentral:lncRNA from 1 species
UUGUGGCCGAAUUCGGCCGGAAAUGGCCAACCCGAUGCGAACCGCCGCCGCAAGCAGCGGCGCCGUCGCCGGAGUUGCGAUAUUGGCUGAAAGGGGCCCUAGGCCUAAUUUGGGAUUUUUUUGGAACACGUGCAGGUACCUGUAGUGCGUUUCAGUUCCCCGGAAAAAAUUCAGGAAAAAUUAGGGACAGCCUGCAAGCGCACUGUGAAACCGUGUUCGGACCCCGAAACGAGAAAGGACCCAUCACCCUAUUUCCUAUCACGGUUUUAAAGUUCAAUAAAUGAUAAAAUGGUAUUUCAUGAAUCAACGAAUGUGUGAAAUUGCUUAAGGUCGCUAAUGGAGCCCGAGUCUAGUGUGUUUGUCGGUUAACUGUUAUUUGGCCUGUUUUACAGUUUUAAAUGCAGCAUGAGGUUCGAUGUUUUCAUUUUAUAGUUUCGUGUGCAUAUUUUACUGUUUUAUUGAUUAUGGAUUGAAUGACCGGGAUAUUGAUGCUGUAUGUUGUCUGUUUGGCAUAAAUUAUCGUUUUGCUUGUUUGUAUGUUAUUGAUAAUGCUGACUGAGGGAAAAGGAGAAUGAAAGAUUAUGUAAAUGGGAAUUGUAUAAUGUGGUCAGCCUGACUAGAUAUCCUGGAAGAUGGUGGACGGACCGGGUCUGUAAGGAACCCUACCGGGAUUGUGGUCUCCCAUACCGGACGGGGUAUGGAGAUCUUACGUGUUUUGG